rnacentral:rRNA from 1 species
UAAAAUUUAUAAAAUUAGGUAGUAAAGAAGUUUCUGAAACCUAAAGAAUUUGGCGGUAUUUUAAAUAAUUGGAGGAACCUGUUAUUUAAUUGACAAUCCACAACAAAUCUUUCCUAAAUUUUAUUUGUAUAUCGUCGUUUUGAUAAUAUUUAAAAGUUAUAAUCAAUUACAAUAAAUUUUUAAAAAUCAGAUCAAGGUGCAGUAUAUUUAGGGUAUAAUGGGUUACAAUAUAAUUAUAUAGACGGAUAUAAAUUUGAAAAUAUAUUGAAGGUGGAUUCAAAAGUAAUAUUAAAAUAAAAUGUUAAUUUGAUUUAUAAUUUAAAAUAUGC